UACGUAGGGUGCGAGCGUUAAUCGGAAUUACUGGGCGUAAAGCGUGCGCAGGCGGUUCUUUAAGACAGAUGUGAAAUCCCCGGGCUCAACCUGGGAAUGGCAUUUGUGACUGUAGAGCUAGAGUACGGUAGAGGGGGAUGGAAUUCCGCGUGUAGCAGUGAAAUGCGUAGAUAUGCAGAGGAACACCGAUGGCGAAGGCAGUCCCCUGGGCCUGUACUGACGCUCAUGCACGAAAGCGUGGGGAGCAAACAGG
rnacentral:rRNA from 1 species